rnacentral:rRNA from 1 species
UGGGGAAUAUUGCACAAUGGGCGGAAGCCUGAUGCAGCGACGCCGCGUGGGGGAUGAAGGCCUUCGGGUUGUAAACUCCUUUCGACAGGGACGAAGCUUUUGUGACGGUACCUGUAUAAGAAGCACCGGCUAACUACGUGCCAGCAGCCGCGGUAAUACGUAGGGUGCGAGCGUUGUCCGGAAUUACUGGGCGUAAAGAGCUCGUAGGUGGUUUGUCGCGUCGUCUGUGAAAUUUCGGGGCUUAACUCCGGGCGUGCAGGCGAUACGGGCUGACUUGAGUGCUGUAGGGGAGACUGGAAUUCCUGGUGUAGCUGUGAAAUGCGCAGAUAUCAGGAGGAACACCGAUGGCGAAGGCAGGUCUCUGGGCAGUAACUGACGCUGAGGAGCGAAAGCAUGGGUAGCGAACAGG